GCCCCUAUAGCUCAGUGGUUUAGAGCACUGGUCUCGUAAACCAGGGGUCGUGAGUUCGAAUCUCACUGGGGGCA
rnacentral:tRNA from 2 species